rnacentral:rRNA from 1 species
AUUGGAUUCAAGUCCUACCGUGUGCUUACGGGACGCCCUUGCCAGAUGUUGCUGGUCGCCCACGGUGAUUCAUUUCGCUUGUGGUGUCGUUCCCGGCGAUCACUCGGCUAUGUGGUGUAUCCCGGCACCGGAGGAAUGCACUUCCUCCCUAGUAGAAACGUCGCGACCCGUUGGGUGCCGGUCCAAGGCGUGGGAUGGCAGACCGCGUGCCCUGUGGGGGUUCCCACAGGCGUGCGGACUCCUGGUGACCCGGCCGGCUGCCCGACGGUAUGACCAGAGGAGUCGAUCCGCUGAAAGUGAAACACUGUGGUUGUGUAGCGUCCGGCCCGACGCCGGGGCGUGCGGGGAUUGAGGUGUAAACCGGGGGUGCCCGUGCGAAGCACGGCCCCGGCCCCGCUGCGUCUCCGGAUACGUCGGUGACCUCGGACUGGAUCAGCACUCCCGUCUGCGACGCCCACCUUCGGAUGGUCUCCCG